GGCUGGUUCGAGUGCAGUGGUGGUUACAACUAAUUGAUCACAACCAGUUACAGAUUUCUUUGUUCCUUCUCCACUCCCACCACUUGCUUCAUUUGACUAGCCUAAA
ensembl:misc_RNA Y_RNA Y RNA